rnacentral:rRNA from 1 species
CCUGCGGAAGGAUCAUUAAUGAAAUGAAUGUCGAGAAGGGUUGUAGCU